GGCACAGAGCUCCACACCAUCUGCAGACAUUGCAGAAAUGAGCAGGGGAAGCCAACGAGCUGUGAGUGACAGAGAUUAAUCUUCAAAGUCACAAAGGCAUGUAGUUCCGUUUGGAAUUCAGGCAACACUGGAGAGCGUCACAGCCUCGGAACAUUUCUUUGAGGCAAUGAAGACAUUUAUCAGCCAUAAAUCUCAGGUGACUUUGUGUCCUGGAAUCCUUCAUAGGGUGGAAUCAAAAAGAACCCAGAAGAAAAACACUGCCUUUUAAAAAAUGGAAUCUGAAAACUGGAGAAGGGAGAGUGAUGGAGACUAAAGCCCAACAAGGAAGAGACUCUCGAGAAAGCAAUAUCUCAGUCCUUUUGCAAAAAACCCGAUCUUCCAAAGAGGAUUCCUGGAUGUAACUUUCUUGUAGAGAAAGAUAAAGUAUUCCUCAAGGAUCCAGGAAGGAACUCAAAAGGAAAGAAAAUCAUUCUGGUAAAUUAAAUAAAUAUGGCGGACCUGAUAAUCUAUCGAGGGAAGUGCACAAGAACAAAUACCUUGUACAUCAGAAGAAGUGCUGUAAAGUGGAUUGAACAAAGCACCACGAACAUGUGGAAUUUGCCCCCUUUUCCAAGUUGAUAGAGAAGAUUGACUACUCAUUUUAGUUUCUGAUGCACAUUCUUCUGAAAGUAUCUUAAGCCAACCUAGCUUCAUCGGAAGAGCCACAACUUCAGUCUUUUUUAUUUGGGCUCUUUUGUCUAAAUGAAAGACUAACUCAGUGCCAUCUUAACUCAUUCAGAAGAUUAACAGUGAGUGUGAAAACCAUACCCUUGAUUUAUUCCUUGACACAAGGCGGUGUUCUGAUCUUUCAGUCUUUCACCGAUUGGUGAUAAGAAAUAAUUACCUCUUCCAAUUCUGCAAGUCUCCAAAUUUUCUGAGCCACCUCUGUUAC
rnacentral:lncRNA from 1 species